rnacentral:lncRNA from 1 species
UUUCCAGAGAGGAUAAAGUGAAGAUGGGAUCUCAAAGUGGGAUUUCAUCUUCUAGGAGCAUAGAAUAUGGACUCAGUAAUCUUGCAUCAUCAUGAGAAGCCAUGCACUUACUUGGAGCAAACCCGGAUGAGCAGGGAUCCUCGGCGGCAGCCUUAGCAGUGUCUCUCGCCCCAGACUGCCAGUUGGUAUGCAUCCCAUCUCAGGAGGAAAUGAUGGUUAAAUACCAAAACAUCUUCCAGUGUCAGCCCCACAUGGAACCCUCAAGAACAGUCCAGUUUACUGACCUCUCCCAUAGUUAUCUAACAUCAGCUGACUGCAAUAAAAUGUAAGCUGCAUCAAGAUCUGUGUCUUGCUUCGCCAUCAUCACAGAAGCUUCCUCCCACAGUAGAUGGGAACAAAUUCAAAGACCGAUGUCCAAACAAUUCGCAGAGAGAGAGAGAGAGAUACAAGGGAUGUCUCCAUCAAUCCCCCCCGCCCGCCCCCACAACAAGGCCUUAGGGAGCUCUGCAGAAGAGGGGGCAGAAAGAUUGCAAGAGCCAGAGGAGAUGGACACCAAAGAAUCAAGGUCUUCUAGCUACAAGACUGGAGCCCAUAUGAAUUCACAGAGACUGUGGCAGCAUGCACAGAGCCUAUGCGGACCUGCACCACAUGGGGUCCUAGAGCUGAAAGCCUUGGGCACAUGCCCUCAUCCCUAUCAUAGAUGCUCUCUCCAAUUGAUAGGCACUUGCAAAGGAAAACUUAGUUUUCUCUAAGGGAGACUCAUAGGAGAAACAAACCAGUCCUAAGGCUAGGCCCCAUGCCCAGCAGUAGAUGGCCAACACAAAACUAUCUCAAUGGUCUUGUCAGAGGUUCUUUGUCUCAAAAUGUUAAGUCGGGGCUUUUUUUUUUUUUUUUUUUUUUUUUAAACCUUACAGCAGGUCCUCUGUGAAUGUACUAUGGCUUCUGGUCUUGAGGUUUUAUAUGAUUCUCUCUCUCUCUCUCUCUCUCUCUCUCUCUCUCUCUCUCUCUCUCUCUCUCUGUGUAUGUGUGUGUGUGUGUGUGUGUGUAGAUGUUCAUGUGUCUCUGGGUCUAUAUGUGUUUCUUGUUCUUUUUCUCCUGCUCUUUUUC